rnacentral:rRNA from 1 species
AGAGUUUGAUCAUGGCUCAGAUUGAACGCUGGCGGUAGGCUUAACACAUGCAAGUCGUGCGAGAAAGUAUCUUCGGAUAUGAGUAGAGCGGCGGACGGGUGAGUAACGCGUAGGAAUCUACCUAGUAGAAGGGGAUAGCCCGGGGAAACUCGGAUUAAUACCGUAUACCUCCUUUGGGAGAAAGAGGGCCUCUCUUGAUGCUCUCGCUAUUAGAUGAGCCUGCGUAAGAUUAGCUUGUUGGUGAGGUAAUGGCUCACCAAGGCUACGAUCUUUAGCUGGUCUGAGAGGACGAUCAGCCACAUUGGGACUGAGACACGGCCCAGACUCCUACGGGAGGCAGCAGUGGGGAAUAUUGGACAAUGGGCGCAAGCCUGAUCCAGCCAUACCGCGUGUGUGAAGAAGGCUCUAGGGUUGUAAAGCACUUUAAGCAGGGAGAAAAAGUUAUAAGUUAAUACCUUAUAACCGUGAUGUUACCUGCAGAAUAAGCACCGGCUAAUUCCGUGCCAGCAGCCGCGGUAAUACGGAAGGUGCAAGCGUUAAUCGGAAUUACUGGGCGUAAAGCGCGCGUAGGUGGUUUGUUAAGUUGGAUGUGAAAGCCCUGGGCUCAACCUAGGAACUGCAUCCAAAACUAACUCACUAGAGUACGAUAGAGGGAGGUAGAAUUCAUAGUGUAGCGGUGGAAUGCGUAGAUAUUAUGAAGAAUACCAGUGGCGAAGGCGGCCUCCUGGAUCUGUACUGACACUGAGGUGCGAAAGCGUGGGUAGCGAACAGGAUUAGAUACCCUGGUAGUCCACGCCGUAAACGAUGACAACUAGCUGUUGGGAGACAAUGU